AUUGAACGCUGGCGGCAUGCCUUACACAUGCAAGUCGAACGGUAACAGGUCUUCGGAUGCUGACGAGUGGCGAACGGGUGAGUAAUGCAUCGGAACGUGCCAGUAGUGGGGGAUAGCCCGGCGAAAGCCGGAUUAAUACCGCAUACGACCUGAGGGUGAAAGGGGGGGAUCGCAAGACCUCUCGCUAUUGGAGCGGCCGAUGUCAGAUUAGCUAGUUGGUGGGGUAAAGGCCUACCAAGGCAACGAUCUGUAGUUGGUCUGAGAGGACGACCAGCCACCCUGGGACUGAGACACGGCCCAGACUCCUACGGGAGGCAGCAGUGGGGAAUUUUGGACAAUGGGCGCAAGCCUGAUCCAGCAAUGCCGCGUGCAGGAAGAAGGCCUUCGGGUUGUAAACUGCUUUUGUCAGGGAAGAAAUCUUCUGGGUUAAUACCUCGGGAGGAUGACGGUACCUGAAGAAUAAGCACCGGCUAACUACGUGCCAGCCGCCGCAGUAAUAC
rnacentral:rRNA from 1 species